rnacentral:rRNA from 1 species
UACGUAGGCAGCAAGCGUUGUUCGGAGUUACUGGGCGUAAAGGGUGUGUAGGCGGUUCUCUAAGUCUGCUGUGAAAGUCCAGGGCUCAACCCUGGGAUGCCGGUGGAUACUGUCGGACUAGAGUACGGAAGAGGCGAGUGGAAUUCCCGGUGUAGCGGUGAAAUGCGCAGAUAUCGGGAGGAACACCAAUUGCGAAGGCAGCUCGCUGGGACGUUACUGACGCUGAGACGCGAAAGCGUGGGGAGCAAACAGG